rnacentral:miRNA from 1 species
CACUUUAGACAAUUACGUUACCAUGAGACAUCUGGACCCCAGGAGGCCCUGAGCCGGCUCAGGGAACUCUGUCGCCGGUGGCUGAGACC